GCCUGGGUGGAUCAGUUGGUUGAGCUUCUGACUUCAGCUCAGGUCAUGACCUCCCAGUUUGUGGGUUCAAGUCCCACAUCGGGCU
rnacentral:tRNA from 1 species